AUGAACGCUGGCGGCGUGUUUUAGGCAUGCAAGUCGAGUGGUGCCGCAAGGUAACCACGGCAAACGGGUGAGUAACACGUGGACAACGUACCCCGAAGUGGAGCAUAACCAGUCGAAAGAUUGGAUAAUACUCCAUGUGCUCGUUGAACUUCUGUUUAACGAGUAAAGAUUUAUCGCUUCGGGAGCGGUCUGCGCCCCAUCAGCUUGUUGGUAAGGUAACGGCUUACCAAGGCUCCGACGGGUACCGGGUGUGAGAGCACGACCCGGCUCACUGGGACUGAGACACUGCCCAGACUCCUACGGGAGGCUGCAGUUAAGAAUCUUCGGCAAUGCGCGAAAGCGUGACCGAGCGACGCCGCGUGUAGGAAGAAGCCCUUCGGGGUGUAAACUACUUUUCUCAGGGAAGAAUUUUUGACUGUACCUGAGGAAUAAGGGGCUGCUAACUCUGU
rnacentral:rRNA from 1 species